rnacentral:rRNA from 1 species
CCUACGGGUGGCAGCAGUGGGGAAUAUUGCACAAUGGGGGAAACCCUGAUGCAGCGACGCCGCGUGAGUGAAGAAGUAUUUCGGUACGUAAAGCUCUAUCAGCAGGGAAGAAAAUGACGGUACCUGACUAAGAAGCCCCGGCUAACUACGUGCCAGCAGCCGCGGUAAUACGUAGGGGGCAAGCGUUAUCCGGAUUUACUGGGUGUAAAGGGAGCGUAGACGGCAGCGCAAGUCUGGAGUGAAAUCCCAUGGCUUAACCAUGGAACUGCUUUGGAAACUGUGCAGCUAGAGUGCAGGAGAGGUAAGCGGAAUUCCUAGUGUAGCGGUGAAAUGCGUAGAUAUUAGGAGGAACACCAGUGGCGAAGGCGGCUUACUGGACUGUAACUGACACUGAGGCACGAAAGCGUGGGGAGCAAACAGGAUUAGAUACCCUAGUAGUC